GUAGCUCAGUAGUAGAGCACUUGCCUAGCAUGUAUGAGGCACUGGGUUCAAUUCUCAGC
rnacentral:tRNA from 1 species